rnacentral:rRNA from 1 species
CACGUAGGGUGCAAGCGUUGUCCGGAAUCAUUGGGCGUAAAGAGCUCGUAGGCGGCUUAGUAAGUCGGGUGUGAAACCUCCAGGCUCAACCUGGAGACGCCACCCGAUACUGCUAUAGCUAGAGUCCAGUAGGGGAGUGGGGAAUUUCCGGUGUAGCGGUGAAAUGCGCAGAUAUCGGAAGGAACACCAGCGGCGAAGGCGCCACUCUGGGCUGGAACUGACGCUCAGGAGCGAAAGCGUGGGUAGCGAACAGG